rnacentral:lncRNA from 1 species
GAAAGAGGUACACGACCUCCACUAGGAGUGCACUCAAUGUGCACUCUUAAUUCAUUAUCUCUUGUAAAAACGUUUUUCAGAUUUAUUUUACAAUUCAAAAACAGAAAAAUAAAAUAAGCUUACUGAUUCUAAAGAUUUAUAGGCGGUAUUCAUCAAAAAGAAAAAAGAAAAAAAAUUGUACGCCUAAGUUCAUUAAGAAAUCACGUAAAGAACUUCACCCGUGAACAAGAAUCAAAGCUUGGAAGAAAAGUUUGUGUGCGGGUGGAAACGUGUGGUUGUGGCUGGUUGUAAAGGCUGAAAAGGUAUGGGUUUUCUUCUCUCUUGGUCACUUUCCUAAGAUCUCCCUAAGGUUCAGUAUGUAUUCCAAUAGAAAACUAAGGUUGUCCCGGUUGCAUGCCUCUGUCAUUAGAUUCUCUGAAAAGUGAUGCAUGCGUUGGUAUGUUUGCUGGUAGACAAUAUUAGGAACGUUUUUAAUUAUGUGUCAUGUGAUGUUUCCAUACAGCGUAUGAUCAUUUUAUGUGUUUCCGACUAUAUGUUUGUUUUAUGUACACAAUAAUGCUAGUUAUCAUGACAAGCAUAUUACUGAUUUUUUUCAAGAAAGUGGUGAAUUAGGUUCUAUGCAUUUCUUGUGUUAUUAACAUAUGAUGAUGAAAUGGUGAUGUUCAUGAACAAGAAAAUAAAAGUAAAUUUCAUAACGAGUUGGUUAAAAGUUUAUGUAAAACUCUAAGUUAAAAUGCCUAAAUUAAAUUCAAAGAAAGUGAAUUAAAGGUAUAUUUUAAUGGAGUAUAGUUUCGGCUAUUCUCUAGUAAAAAUGACGAAAAGUAUAUGCUUCCAUUGAGGGUGGAACUCGAGGCCUUAAGGUCUUGAUACUAAGAUAUUAAGGCUUAAAAUAAAAGAAAAGAAAAUGGGGUGAGAGGGAAUUCGAACUUGGUCAGGUUGAAAGAAGCUUAGAAAUAAAAGAAAAAGAAAAUAGUGAGGGAAGGGGGAUUCGAAUUUGAAUACUUGGCCAAGGGUGUGAGAUACAUAAAUCUCACACCAAAAUAAAAUAAUAAAAGUUGAGGCCACUGGAUUCGAUCCCAGUCCUCUUGACCGAAUGAGUGAAGCCAUCUAGCACUCCAAAUAAUUAACAAUGAAGUGUUGCCUAAGGGAUUCAAACUUGGGUCCCUUGACUGAAAUUGUGAGAAACAUUAAAAUGAAAUAAAAUGCAGCCACUACGGAUUGAACUUGGGUCCCUUGGCGGCACGUGUAAAAUGCAUAAGUCUUACAUUACAUAUACUUAGAUUGUCAUGAAACACUUAGUCAAUUAUGAGUAAUCCAAAUUGGGUAAGAACAUGAGUAAAUGGUAAGAUAAUUAGAUGAACAUUAACGUAAUGAGGUGAGUAAUUACAUUAUACUAUGAUUCUAAUGAAAAAAGUGACAACAUAAUAAGAGGCUAAUAUGAAUGGAUGAGAGAGUUAGGAGAAAAAUAAAUGUGGUGAAUGGGGAUUCAAUCCACAACCUCUUGGAUAGGUGAGAAAGUUAAUACAUAAAUUAAAAGAAAAAUAAUGAACCUGUGGGGUAUUGAACCCACAACAUCCUUGCCUUAAAAUGAAAAAGGAGAAGAGAACAACAAAGAAAUAUUAUGGGGGUGAUGGGAAUUGAACUGGGGUCUCCCAAAUCUGAAAAAUGCAAUUAUCAAGUUUAAAAGAAGAUUAAGUGUUGUUCAAGGGAUUCAAAAUGGGUUCCCUUGCCCAAUUUCGUAAUGAGACAUAAGUAAUUUGUAAACAAAUAUUUAAUGAAUGCUUCCUCUAAAGAUCGAAAUCAAUAACUUGGAAUAUCUACAAGAUGCAUAAGUCUUGUACCACAUAAUCUUGGGUAAACAUGAAUCACUAUGACAAACUAUGAAUGAAGCCUCAUGGAUUGUAUGUGUAGAAUUAUAAGUCUAGCAUACGUUUAAAAGUAAGUGAGCCUAAGAUGUAUGAGAUAAAAUUAUGUCACCAUAGAAGGAUUAAGUAAGAGUGUGAAAUGCACUAAAUGGCCAAGUGCAUUGGCAUAUGAUGAAAUGAACAUUCACGUGAAGGGCUGAGUAAUUUUGAAAAGGAAAUGUGUUUAGGUUAAUGAAUGAGGUGACAAUAUGAUAAGAGGAUAAUGUUAAAGAUCAAAGCACUCUGAAAUGAGCCUGAGUAAAUGUAACCAAAAAGUACCUCACCUAUGAGAGUGUAAAGCUACUAAAGAGACCAGUCUCUAUGAACACUCUAAUGAAAGUAUUGAAGUUAAUGCAUACUUAAUUUUAAUGAUGAAAUGAGAAAUCAUCUAAUGAGCUAUGAUGUCCUCAUGCUAGAAGCCAACUUCCAUGGUGUAUAAGUUCAAUGUAAUGGAAAUUUAUACUGAGCGCCGAUAGGCUAGCUAUGAGUGGUGAUGACUUCCUUCGAGAAGGGUGGAUGUUCACAUAACUCUCAUUAGAUGAGAAUUUUCGGCAUGCCGGGUAUGGGUCUCCUUAUAUCUGUUAGUCUUUGGACCUAUACUGCCAAUAUAGGGAUCGAGUAGGGUUAAAUUCCCUAUAUACGCUAGCAUGUUUUGGUUCACUUUGGCCGGUGAUUCCACCUCUUUUUAGUGUAGGGAUUAUACACUGGAUUUUCAUGAUGCUCACAUGAUCUAUGUUGGUUAAGUUUAAAGUUCCCAAAGAAUCAAUGAGGCCAGCCUCAAAGAAUACACAUAAUGAAAUGAACGAUCCUAAAGGUGUAAGUAUAGGGUAAUCAAGAGGUGAGCUAGACUUAUGUAAUGACACGAGGUUAUUCUUGGUCAUUGCACAUCAAACCCGAUGAGAGUCUUAAACUACAUCUUAGGUAUGACUGGUUUUUGCACUAGUAUAUGAAAGAAUGAAAAUGAAGUACGUACGAAUGAAUGAAGCAGAAUGAAUGAAGCAGACUCUGUGUUUGCUAAAAAAAGGCUCCCUAGUUGAGGUCAAAUAUGUUGAGCCCUCGCUUUGGGGAGUCCUACUGUGAAGUCCAUGAUUCAAAGGUCUCAUGGCAUAUGAAAGAUUGAUAUAAACUAUGUGAUAUUGUAUGUGUAAUAUGUUAUGUGUUGUUUGCAAAAUGAUAAGUAUGAUGAUGCAUGUUACUCUCAUGGCAUGACUUUCCUAAUCCAAAUUUGGGAAGUCCAUUGACUUGACUUUCCAUAAUUCAUAUCGUUAGGAGAGAUAUCUUCUUAAUCAUGCAUGUACUUGGUGUUUGCUUGCACAUACCCAUACUUAGUACGAGUCUAUACUAAUCCCAUACAACUCUAUACUUUUAGGUGCAGGCACAAGUGGACGCUAGAAUAUACAGUACAAUGCUAUAGCUAUCCGGACGUGGAGCAUUCAUCCGGAUUUUGUAGUCCCUCAUUAUUUCAAGGAUGCUUUCCUAUUAUAUUCUAGCUUAGAUAUAGGUUUGAUUUAGUGGAGUAUGUUCCACUAGCGUUUCGCUCCCACUUUAUUUCAGAAAUUUUAUUGGGGUCAUUUUGGAAUGUAUAAUUUAAUGCAGUAUGGGAAUAUUUAUUUUAUUUGAUGAUGUUAAAAUUAGA